rnacentral:lncRNA from 1 species
CACAUGUGUACAUUUGCAUUGGGCGAAUGUGGCUGCAUCCUGUGUGAACUGUUAUGUCGGGAAAUUCUCAAUGAAAAUAUUCAGGGUAGAAAUAUAGCCCAGAAAUGACGUCCCUGGAAAAUGUAACAAGGGUCUCCCCUCGCAGACCCCUGGAAAGGCCAAAGGUGGGAUGUGCGCGCCUCUCGGGGACCUUGAGUUUCUUUGCAAACUUCCCACUGUUGCGACACUGAGUGCGUGGGCAGACACCCUCUGCCCUUUGUGUGUGUGUGGUGGGGAAUGGAACAGGCUCCCUGCCAUUGAGAAAUUCACCGGCGCUGCGGGCGUGAAUAACUUUCUCUGCUCACCCAACAGCUGACGAUGACUCCUCUUCCUCGGUGAAACUCCCACAGCGCCGCCGACCGAGUAGCGACGCUUCCUGGUUGCGAUCCGCAGCGGGACCCAUGUGCGACACCACCGACACGGAGAGACCGGGGCGCUAGGGGCGUGACAUUAGGGGCGUGCCCCGCGGCGGCUCUUUGCCUGGCACUCGGCUUCGCCCCUCCAGCGUGCCGGACAGCCCAGCCCCAGCCCCGAGCAUGGAGACGGGCCCCCUCCUCGCCCUGCCGCACGACAAAGCAGAGCUCCUGUCGGAGCUGCAGAGAGGGGCCCCGCCGCUGGAUUUCUGCCUAGAGCAGGGCCCCCGGCUGGCUAGACCCCAAGACGCUCUGGCUCUCAACGGGUAUGUCACUGAUUAUUCCACUGACAGGCUGCGCGAGAACAAUGAAGAUCGAGCUCUAACUGAUGUACUUACUGACUUCACAACCCCCUGGGUGCUGGAGAUCAAUGUAGAUGCACUUUGGAGCUCCUUCACACAACAGGUUGUUCUAGCACAACACAGCCAGAUACCCAGUCAAAGUAUUGUCACUUACACUGUUACCAUGAUACUCCCCCACGGCAGGGCCGGCUCCAGCAUUUCUGCCGCCCCAAGCAAAAACAAAAAACAAAACAAAGAAACCAAAAGCCGCGAUCGCCGGCGGCAAUUGGGGAAAAAAAAAAAAAGCCGCGAUCGGCGGCGGCAGUUCAGCGGCAGGUCCUUCGCUCCUAGAGGGAGUGAGGGACCUGCCACCCCGGAAUUGCCACUGGU